GAUGAAGAACGCAGCAAAAUGCGAUAAGUAAUGUGAAUUGCAGAAUUCAGUGAAUCAUCGAAUCUUUGAACGCACAUUGCGCCCGCCAGUAUUCUGGCGGGCAUGCCUGUUCGAGCGUCAUUUCAACCCUCAAGCACAGCUUGGUGUUGGGACUCGCGUUAAUUCGCGUUCCUCAAAUUGAUUGGCGGUCACGUCGAGCUUCCAUAGCGUAGUAGUAAAACCCUCGUUACUGGUAAUCGUCGCGGCCACGCCGUUAAACCCCAACUUCUGAAUGUUGACCUCGGAUCAGGUAGGAUUACCCGCUGAACUUAAGCAUGUCAAUAAGCGGAGGA
rnacentral:misc_RNA from 1 species